GAGCAAGGGACAAGUGGUGGCGAAGACAACAUAACCAGUCCAUCCAAAGGCAGUGUUGGGGAAAGAACCAACUUCUUCACUGCUGCUUGCUCAGAUGUGUGGAUACAUUCUCCGGAAUCAACUUUUCCUGUGCCUGGCAGGGAGGUUCCUUGAAUUACACACUUCCUGUCUGCCGUGUCCAGGUCAUUCACCUCUCACCAAAUGCUCUGACAAAGCUAGAAUCACCUCUAGGGCUAGAGUUCAGACAUGAAGACAGUUUCAACCAGACUGGAUGCUGGGAAGGUGGUUGUUUUUUCCUUACUACCCUGGAGACUUUUGGUUUCAUGGUAUUAUGUAAAGAUUUAAAUUUUUAUUAUCAUUAUUAUUUUGGAUUCAGGAUUUUAAGUAUCCCAGGCUGGUUUUGAACUUGUUAUGCCGCUGAGGGUGACCAUGAACUUCUGAU
rnacentral:lncRNA from 1 species